rnacentral:tRNA from 1 species
ACUUAAAUAAUUUAAUAAAAAAUAUUGAUUUGUGGUAUCAAAAAUAUGAUAAUUCAUUUUAAGUU